AUUGAACGCUGGCGGCAGGCCUAACACAUGCAAGUCGAGCGGAUGAAGGGAGCUUGCUCCUGGAUUCAGCGGCGGACGGGUGAGUAAUGCCUAGGAAUCUGCCUGGUAGUGGGGGAUAACGUCCGGAAACGGGCGCUAAUACCGCAUACGUCCUGAGGGAGAAAGUGGGGGAUCUUCGGACCUCACGCUAUCAGAUGAUCCUAGGUCGGAUUAGCUAGUUGGUGGGGUAAAGGCCUACCAAGGCGACGAUCCGUAACUGGUCUGAGAGGAUGAUCAGUCACACUGGAACUGAGACACGGUCCAGACUCCUACGGGAGGCAGCAGUGGGGAAUAUUGGACAAAGGGCGAAAGCCUGAUCCAGCCAUGCCGCGUGUGUGAAGAAGGUCUUCGGAUUGUAAAGCACUUUAAGUUGGGAGGAAGGGCAGUAAGUUAAUACCUUGAUGUUUUGACGUUACCAACAGAAUAAGCACCGGCUAACUUCGUG
rnacentral:rRNA from 1 species